rnacentral:rRNA from 1 species
AGCUCCAAUAGCGUAUAUUAAAGUUGUUGCAGUUAAAAAGCUCGUAGUUGAACUUUUGGCUUGGCUGGGCGGUCUCUCAUUGAGAGUACUUUCUGGCCUCGUCUUUCCUUCUGGAGAAGUAUGGUGCUAUUCAUUUAGUGCUGUAGGGAACCAGGACUUUUACUUUGAAAAAAUUAGAGUGUUUAAAGCAGGCUUGGCUUGAAUACAUUAGCAUGGAAUAAUAAAAUAGGACUUUGGUUUUAUUUUGUUGGUUUUCUCAACCAAAGUAAUGAUUAAUAGGGAUAGUUGGGGGCAUUUGUAUUGAGCCGUCAGAGGUGAAAUUCUUGGAUUGGCUCAAGACAAACUUCUGCGAAAGCAUUUGCCAAGGAUGUUUUCA